ACCGUUUUGAAGUUGGGUACCCAUCUCUCUGUCUCUCUCUCUGCGAAAACCCUAAUAUUUCUCUCUCACAUUUGUUGAAUUCAAGUAUUGUAUUCAAAUUUCAUGAAAAAUUGCAUUGAAAUUUGUUUAUAAGAAGUUAAAAAGGCUUAAAUCUUCAUCGAUGGGGAAGACUAGCUCACGCCGACCGCAAAUUUGAGAAGAAACUCGAGUUCUAUCGAAAGACAAAAACAAGGAGCGAAAAAAAGAAAUUGAAAGCAUAUGAUCUCUCAUCCCUCUCAGAGCUCCUUCCCGAAUUAAAGUCUCAUAGGCAACUGACUCCUACUGAGUUUAAACUGAAUAGUAAAUCCAGACAAAAUCUAGUAGAAAACAGGUUGGGGGAUCAACAACAGUGCAUCAACUGCUUGAAAAUGUGCAAUAGUCAUUUUCAAAGAAUUAGAAUUCCAGUCAGAGACUCGCAGCCAGCUAAAUUGGCCAAACUGAAGAAUUCUGGAGGCAGCUCGAACUCAAGAAGACUUGGCAAUCAGGAGAGCAAUUUGGAAUGGCCAUGCAUGUCAAAGUGCAAAGAGCAAAGUCCCCCUC